CAAGAUUGGAGGCUGGCGGCGCCGGGCGGGCAUGCCUGUCCGGUUACGUCCAGCCCCACUCCUCACCUUGCCUACUGCACCGUUUGUUGCUUCCUGGCGGCGGCGUCCCGCCGCCAGGGGCUUGUAAAAGCCUUGUAUAAGCAUUGAUAUCCUGAUGUACACUAAAUCAUACAACUUUCAACAAUGGAUCUCUUGGUUCUGGCAUCGAUGAAGAACGCAGCGAAAUGCGAUAAGUAGUGUGAAUUGCAGAAUUCAGUGAAUCAUCGAAUCUUUGAACGCACAUUGCGCCCCUUGGUAUUCCGAGGGGCAUGCCUGUUCGAGCGUCAUCUGAACCCUCAAGCCCCCCGGUGUUGCCCUGCCUCUGGCGUGGGCUCCACCUGGCUUGGUGUUGGGCGUCUGUCCCCACUGGCGUGGACUCGCUCCAAAUGCAUUGGCAGCGGCCUCCCGGCUCCUCGCGCAGCACACCGCGCAGAGGGGCCCGGCUCGGCGCGCGUCCAGCAAGCACCCCCCAAGUUUGACCUCGGAUCAGGUAGGGAUACCCGCUGAACUUAAGCAUAUCAAUAAGCGGAGGAAUCGUACGCUUGGUCAUUUAGAGGAAGUAAAAGUCGUAACAAGGUUUUCCGUAGGUGAACCUGCGGAAGGAUCAUUAAAAGAUAUAGCAUAUUCUUCUGAAUAUACUUUAUUAACCCAUUCCGAGUACCUUACCCGUUGCUUCCGCGAGGCUGUCCUCACGGCCCUCUGAAGAUUUAUCUUUGGGGAGUCCUUGCGGAAGGUAUACAAUAAACUCUUGCAUUACCAUGUCAUCUGUCUGAAUCUGUUUAAAACAAAUAUUA
rnacentral:misc_RNA from 1 species